UUUUCUUAUGCUUAUUAGCCAUUUUCUGUUCAUAUGCUUCACGUUGCCAUAAUCUUAAUAUAAUUUGUUCAUAAGGAGUUUUAGUCAAAGCUCCUACCAACUUACCAAUGAACUUUCAAAACGUAUCUCAUUUGAAAGUUAGAAGCUAAUUAUACUAGUUAUAUGUUGGGAUGAAAGUAGAGAAGCCUAGUACCAAAUCUGCUGUCAGAACCUUAUACAAAGUUGGAAGUGUUCUGUACCAUCAAAUAUGGUAGUCCCUAGCCACACGUGACUAUUGAGCACUGAAAUUGUGGCCACUGUGACUGAGGAACUGAAUUUUUAAAUUUUAUUCCAUUUUAGUUCAUAUAAACUUUAUUUUUCAGAGCCAUGUGUGGCCAGUGGUUACCAUAUUAGACAGCACAGCUCCAAGCAAUUUAUCUAUUUCAGGAAAUGGGAGAGCCUGGGCUUCAUUCCUGGCCUACUAAAUCCAUAAGCAAGAGGAAAAAACAACACAAUCAAGGGACAAACUACAUCGUGUGAGGCCAGCUCAGGCUGCUACUACUCUGUCAUCCUAAGAGAAGAAUCUCUGAAAUUUUGACAGCAUGUGGAAAUAUUCCCACUGAUUAUUGGAUUAUGAAGAUGGAGAAGAGUAUUUUAAAGGAGUUUUGUAGGAGCUGCAGGAGAGGAUUCAGGUAUAUUUAUAUUCAUAGUAUAUGUGUAAUGCUUUGUUCCUGCUCCUUCAUUACUUCUAUUAAGAAGAGACAAGGAGAGAGACAUGGAAAUGACUAAGGCACCAAAGGAAAGGCAUUUUUUACAUUUCAAAGUCACAGGUAAAAAACAUUUAUCAUUUUCAUGUGGAAACAUUCUUCCAAGCUGUAACUAAUAAUGGUCUCUCCUACUAUUUCCUCCCACUUCUGCAGCUGCUAAAACACCUUUGCCACCAGCUCCGACAAUCAAACCAUGCCUUUGGAUUUCUUCAGUUUCUAAAGGGGAACAUCUUUUUAAAGCCUUUGUUGUAUUAAUUAAGAAUCCAGGGCCAAGCCCGUGG
rnacentral:lncRNA from 10 species